AUUGAACGCUGGCGGCAUGCCUUACACAUGCAAGUCGAACGGUAACAGGUUAAGCUGACGAGUGGCGAGCGGGUGAGUAAUGUAUCGGAACGUGCCCAGUCGUGGGGGAUAACUGCUCGAAAGAGCAGCUAAUACCGCAUACGACCUGAGGGUGAAAGCGGGGGAUCGCAAGACCUCGCGCGAUUGGAGCGGCCGAUAUCAGAUUAGGUAGUUGGUGAGGUAAAGGCUCACCAAGCCGACGAUCUGUAGCUGGUCUGAGAGGACGACCAGCCACACUGGGACUGAGACACGGCCAGACUCCUACGGGAGGCAGCAGUGGGGAAUUUUGGACAAUGGGCGCAAGCCUGAUCCAGCCAUGCCGCGUGCGGGAAGAAGGCCUUCGGGUUGUAAACCGCUUUUGUCAGGGAAGAAAAGGUUCUGGCUAAUACCUGGGACUCAUGACGGUACCUGAAGAAUAAGCACCGGCUAACUACGUG
rnacentral:rRNA from 1 species